AUUGAACGCUGGCGGCAUGCCUAACACAUGCAAGUCGAACGGAAACGAUUAAGAGCUUGCUCUUAAGGCGUCGAGUGGCGGACGGGUGAGUAAUACUUAGGAAUCUGCCCAGUAGUGGGGGACAACUCGGGGAAACUCGAGCUAAUACCGCAUACGCCCUACGGGGGAAAGCGGGGGAUCUUCGGACCUCGCGCUAUUGGAUGAGCCUAAGUCGGAUUAGCUUGUUGGUGAGGUAAUAGCUCACCAAGGCGACGAUCCGUAGCUGGUCUGAGAGGACGAUCAGCCACACUGGGACUGAGACACGGCCCAGACUCCUACGGGAGGCAGCAGUGGGGAAUAUUGGACAAUGGGCGCAAGCCUGAUCCAGCAAUGCCGCGUGUGUGAAGAAGGCCUGCGGGUUGUAAAGCACUUUCAGUAGAGAAGAAAAGCUCAAGAUUAAUACCCUUGAGUCUUGACGUAACCUACAGAAGAAGCACCGGCUAACUCCGUG
rnacentral:rRNA from 1 species